rnacentral:lncRNA from 1 species
GCGAACCCCACUGAGAGCAGGGGACUAUAGAAACCUGCUGGUGGAUGUGGGAGGUCUGCCACACACACACACAUCUUUUUGUAUUGCAGUCUCCUCCCAUGAGAGGCAGAGAGAGCGUGUGAUUGCUACUAGACAAGGAGGCGAGAGCACUGAAGGACAAACAGACUCCUCCUGCCCUGGUUGCCAGACCCAGCUGAAUGAUUUCUGUCAGAUGGGAAGUAGAAGAGAGAAAUCUCUAGGUAAAUGUAACUGGAAAGCUUUCCAAGAGGAGUCCUAAAUGAGCACAGAAAAGCACUUGGCCACAAUCUGCAGACAGAUUGAAAAAGAAAGGGGAGCUUGAGCAGUGAAGAAUUUAGAACCUGACUGGUACAUACUUCACUCGAGAUUUCCCUGUGAGCAGAAAACUGCAUUGAUGCCGAUCAUAUAAGGUAUUUUAAAAACACCAACAAAUGUUUGGUAUCCUUGUGGAUUUUGUAUAGCUUGUGGUAUGUUUUAGUGCAAGAUACUUUUCUAUAGAGAAAAUUAUUAUUUUUUCUAAAAAUGGCUUUUUCUGAUUUCAAGGGUAUGUCAAAUUAGUGGAGGCGUAUUUUUAUGGCUCUUAUGUUGCUAUUUCAGAUUGCAAGGAUAAGCAAAAAACAAUCUGUAUGCAUUUGCUGACUGUUCAAAUAUUUCUUGCAUUCCUUUGACUUCUUUCACUAUCAACUUAUGCUUCAUCAAAUUCAAAGUUGUCAUGGUUCAUUAUCCAUAGAUGAUCUUGAGCAGUCUUGCAUCAUAAAAAAAAUAUGCUGUGGCAUCUGCCUUUGAGCUUUUGUGCACCACUGUACAUAUCACUUCUAGGCAAGGUUAUCUAUCUUUGAUUUAACCUAUGUUUAAUAUACAGUAUUGAUGGGUACAGCAGGAUGUAUCAUUGUUUUACAUAUGUAUGUCUCAAUCCAUGGAAACUGUAUACAUUACAUUGUUAUGAACAGUGUAGUUGUGUUUAUAAAAUGUCUGCUUUAUUGUUUUAGCUAAUGAGUUUCAUCCAAUUCAAUUAUUUCACAGCUCAGAAUCUUCAUUAGCCAAUCAAAUUGCUCCCUCAGUCUGUCAUUUUGAGUUCUUGUACUGAAUGUAAGAGAGUGUUUUGAAGUUAGUUGUAAUUGAAUUAUGAAUAAUGAUCUUUUUAUUCAGUCCCAUGUUUUCUGAAUAUUCAGAUUUUAGAAACCAUAAAUGAAUUCCACAAUCCUGACACUUUAUAUUAUUAAUAUUGAUUAUAUUAAUAAAAGUUAAUUAUGUCCAGACA